rnacentral:lncRNA from 1 species
GGGCUAACAUGGGUUGGAGUUCGGUGUUUGAAAAUAGUUUCAAGUUUUAUAAAAUAUUUUUACAAACUGUCAUACAGUCAAAUAAACUUUAAUUUUAGAUCUAAUAUAUAAUAUAUCAGAUCUAAAAUAAAAAUUUUUAACUCUUUUCAUUGUUCAUCUUUAUGAAAAAGACUGUGCAGCACUCCUACAUGGCAUAGGAGAACCCCAUC